UACAGAGGUCUCGAGCGUUAGGCGGAAUCACUGGGCUUAAAGCGUGUGUAGGCGGAUUGCUAAGUACCUUGUGAAAUCCCACGGCUUAACCGUGGAACUGCUUGGUAUACUGGCUGUCUUGAGCCACUUAGGGGCGACCGGAACAAACGGUGGAGCGGUGAAAUGCGUAGAUAUCGUUUGGAACGCCAAAGGUGAAAACAGGUCGCUGGGAGUGUGCUGACGCUGAGGCACGAAGGCCAGGGGAGCAAACGGG
rnacentral:rRNA from 1 species